rnacentral:rRNA from 1 species
AUUGAACGCUGGCGGCAGGCCUAACACAUGCAAGUCGAGCGAAUGAGGGAAGCUUGCUUCCCGAUUUAGCGGCGGACGGGUGAGUAAUGCCUAGGAAUCUGCCUAUUAGUGGGGGAUAACGUUCCGAAAGGAACGCUAAUACCGCAUACGUCCUACGGGAGAAAGUGGGGGAUCUUCGGACCUCACGCUAAUAGAUGAGCCUAGGUCGGGUUAGCUAGUUGGUGAGGUAACGGCUCACCAAGGCGACGAUCCGUAGCUGGUCUGAGAGGAUGAUCCGCCACACUGUGACUGAGACACGGUCCAGACUCCUACGGGAGGCAGCAGUGGGGAAUAUUGGACAAUGGGCGAAAGCCUGAUCCAGCCGUGCCGCGUGUGUGAAGAAGGUCUUCGGAUUGUAAAGCACUUUAAGUUGGGAGGAAGGGUUGUAAGCUAAUAUCUUGCAGCUUUGACGUUACCAACAGAAUAAGCACCGGCUAACUCUGUGCCAGCCGCCGCGGUAACAC